ACGGAGGACGGUGGGCCGGCAGGGCUGGGCAUUCAGGCAGUGUUUGUGGCAGCUGUGGGAGUUAGUCCACAGCUUGGACGUUGAGCUACCUGGCCUUGGAUGGCCGGAGCAGAGGGGGGUUUUGUGUUUUCCUUGUAGAUAGCAGGUGCUUCGAAGUGUGGGUUCCGAUAAGUACUGCUCAUUCCAUGAGUAUUUAUCGAGCUCCUACUCCAUGGUAGGCACUGAACGGGAGUGAGCACCACAUAGGUCCUACCCCAGAUGAGCUCUGUUCUACUGAGAGACGAACACGGAAGGACGAGGACUCGGUUUCACAGAUGGCGAUAAGCUGGAUGGAGAAGAGUCAAGCAGAAGAAGCAAACUACAGGGCCAGCAAUUACCAGCAGCGCCUCUGUCCCUAGCACCUCUUCAACACGGAGCAAUUAUGCUUAUUUGGUGAAGGAUGAUGAAACUCGGAGGAAGCAAAUGCACUGGCGUAGAACUUUCCUCCCAACUUCAUCAGAUUUUAUUUAUUUAUUUGAGAGAGAGAGCAUAAGA